AGCGAACGCUGGCGGCAGGCCUAACACAUGCAAGUCGAACGGGCAUCUUCGGAUGUCACUGGCCGACGGGUGAGUAACACGGGGGAACUUACACUUCGAUUCGGAAUCACUCAGGCUAACAUGACUUCAUACCGGAUACGCUCUUUUGGGGUAAGGUUUACUGCCGCAGGAUCGGCUCGCGUCUGAUUGGCUUGCUGGUAGGUUAACGUCCUACCAAGGCGCCAAUCCGUAGCUGGGAUGAGAGGAUGUGCAGCGACACUGAGGCUGAGACGCGGCCGGGACUCCUACGGGAUGCGGCAGAGGGGGACAUUGGACAGCGGGGGGAAGCCUGAUGGAGUCAUGACGGGUGAGUGCUGAAGGCCUUAGGGAUGUAAAGUUUAUUUGUCCGGGACGAUAAUGACGGUACCGGAAGAAUAAGCCCCGGCUAACUUCGUG
rnacentral:rRNA from 1 species